CAGUUUGAUUCUGACUGAAAAAUUAACUAUCACCAACCAAUAUACAUGUAAAUACCCCUAUUCCCGCACCGAUAUAUAUAUCUAAAUGAAUUAACAAAUGUAUUAAGAAUAACUCAAUACAGUAGAGCGCCACAGUAAAUAACACUUUUCAAUUUGAAAAACAAGAAAAGAGUAUGGUUUAAGGGCUGGCAAAAUUCGUGCCAGCUGCCGCGGUUAGACGAAAAGCCCAAGUUAAUAAAAUAUAAGCUAAAUUAAUGAUAGGUUAAACAAUAACAAAAGUCUAAUUUUAAAUAUCCUUGGUACCCAUCUAUCUUAUAUUAAUAAAAUCAUGAACUAAAACGUGGAUUAGAUACCCACCUAUUCAUGACAUAAAUAAUAGUUAAAUAUUACGAACAACAGUUUAAAAUUUAAAGAUUUUGGCGGUGUCUUAUAAAACCAGGGGAACCUGUCUCAUAACUCGAUAAUCCACGAAUACUCAACCUUCUCUUGAUAUACAGCAUGUAUACUGCCGUUGUAAGCAUACCUUUAAAAGAAUAAGUAUGCCACUAUGAUUACAAAGCUAACUCAUAUACAUCAGGUCAAAGUGCAGCUAAUAAGUAGGUGACGAUGGGUUACAACCCCAAAACAGAUUAUCAACCAAGAAAUAAAAAAUCUUACUAAAGUGGACUUGGCCGUAAUCAAUUUGUAAGGUAAAAAAAUGAAUACUCUCUAAGACAUGCACACAUCGCCCGUCACUCUAUCCUAAAGGUUAGAUAAGUCGUAACAAAGUAGGUGUAAUGGAAAUUGCACCUGU
rnacentral:ncRNA from 1 species